GAUGAACGCUGGCGGCGUGCCUAAUACAUGCCAGUCGAGCGAACAGACGAGGAGCUUGCUCCUCUGACGUUAGCGGCGGACGGGUGAGUAACACGUGGAUAACCUACCUAUAAGACUGGGAUAACUUCGGGAAACCGGAGCUAAUACCGGAUAAUAUAUUGAACCGCAUGGUUCAAUAGUGAAAGACGGUUUUGCUGUCACUUAUAGAUGGAUCCGCGCCACAUUAGCUAGUUGGUAAGGUAACGGCUUACCAAGGCAACGAUGCGUAGCCGACCUGAGAGGGUGAUCGGCCACACUGGAACUGAGACACGGUCCAGACUCCUACGGGAGGCAGCAGUAGGGAAUCUUCCGCAAUGGGCGAAAGCCUGACGGAGCAACGCCGCGUGAGUGACGAAGGUCUUCGGAUCGUAAAACUCUGUUAUUAGGGAAGAACAAAUGUGUAAGUAACUAUGCACGUCUUGACGGUACCUAGUCAGAAAGCCACGGCUAACUACGUG
rnacentral:rRNA from 1 species